ensembl:lncRNA
GUGGAGGGUGGAGCCGCGUAGGGGAAUGUGGGAAGGGCAGCAAAAGAGGGUCAUAGACUGCUGGAGGCUGCAGAGGAUGCAGUGUCCCUGGACUCCAACCUGGAGGAGCAUGUUGUCGCUGACACAUUGGGCACCAUACUGAACUGGUGCUUCAAGCAGAGGCUGCUCAACAACAGCCUCCAAGUUCAUGCUGGAUAAGGCCAACCUCAUGAUUGACACGCAGGGCUUCUCCUCCCAGAGCAUCCACAUCCUGAGGUGGAUCACAGAAACCUGCUUUUGGCACAGGAAAAUGCAAAAGGAGGGAGUAAGAAAGAACUGGGAGCAGAAGCGUGCAGCCCUCUGCAAUCUCUAUGGCAGCAUUUCCAGGCCUUAAUCUUCUGCCAGUGAUCCAUCUGACAUGAUCAAUCCCCAGUGUGACAUCAGCAGUGCUUCAAAGAUCACCAGAAAUGAGGGAACAGGUGCAAGGGAUGGAUGGGAACAGUCAGAAUUAAAAGCUCAAAGUGGUAACAGCAUCUAAUAGUUGGAACCAUGUUUGCUUAGCUUUCAUGGUGGGCAUUAUGUGGAAACCAUGCUCUGUUCCCCCAGCCUUUGUGUUUUGUGUCUAACAAAAGCAUUUUGUGACUUCUUUCUCUUCUUUUUCUUUUUUUUUGCCUUAUUUUGAGGCUCUGCCUAUUCCAAAGCACCACAGCUGUGGAGAAAGGAAUACAAAAAGGUAUCUCAGGGAAUCCAUACCUAGUGACACAAAGAGAAGUGUGGAAGAAUCAAAGUCAUGGCCUGAGAAAAUUAUCUGGUCAGCAAUAUAAAAAAUGGAGAGAGCAGACAGUGUUUGUCAAGACCAGAAAUGUAGAUUUGUCAGUAAUCAAGCUACAAGAUGCUUGAGAUUUGGAUAUCUUUGUGAUGAGAGGGAAGAGCAUGUUAAGUGGUGCACAUUAGAUAAGCUAGGCAUCACUUGGAAACCUGUGUGCCAGGACCUCUUAGUGUCAUGCCUAGGCUGCUGCCAGGGUAGAGGUCCUGUCCACAGAAAGAAAGGAGCAAGACGUGGAAGGAAGGAGAGCCACAUUUUAACCUUGAGUUGAUGGCUAGAUAGCUAUGAGGAAGGAUCCUGGAGCAAUAACUUGGUCUACGGGAGUGAAACCAGAAGUGUAACUGGAUGUGAGUUCUCCUCUUUUGCUGUUGGCUUGUCGUGUGUGAAGUCCACCUCAAGUUGGGCAGAGCCAUGGCAGCCCUCAGUCUUGUUCUCCCAAGGGAUUCUGUAGCUUGGAAAGGUGUUUGAUGCUGGAACCAUGAAAGUAGGUUUAUGCUCCCACCCUAGCCCAGGAGAACAGCUGGGCUGGGUACACUUCCCAGUUCUGAGGCACACAGUUGGGAGAGGGCAGACCACUGCCUCUGCCCAUUUCUGUCUCUGCUUAAUGGCAGCAUGUCUUCUUCUUUCUGUCAAGACCCUGCUCAAGAAGUAGACUGUAAUUGUAAGGAAUUACAGAUUUUAUUUUAGGCAGUCAGUCUUGGGGGUCACAGUGUGGUGCCUUGAAAGACAUGGGUCAGAUAGCAGUGUUGCAGAAAAGCAGAUUUAUCCAGACAGGAUGUAUCCUUGCCUCCAGCCAUGACACUUGGGAAGCCCUCACUGCAAGCCAGCCAGAGCUGACUUACGUGUGCUUGCUAAUUCAGAGGGAAAAAUGGUUUUCUGUUUGAAGUGGGUUUCAGUUAUUUUCUCAGGCUUUUGCUUUGAUGUUUAUCUGAUGCUUUCAAAAGUUAAUUUGCUUAUUUAUUAACAAGGCUGUCUUACUGCAAGCAAAGACCUCAUGGAGCUAAAUAUAUAUCUAGUUCUACAAAUUUUUAUUAGAAAAAAAAAUAUACUAAAACUUUGCAAGGAUUUUAGCAGUGCUAAAAAAAAAAGUGCUAUCUUCCAUGAUAAGCUGGCUUUAGCUACAGAAAUUACAGAGGCCAAAACUUAUUUCUACUGGUUCAUUUACAAUUCACACCAAUGUCAUAUGUUGUCCACAAUAAUAAAUUCCACUCAUGAUAUAAUUCUAGUUUCAGUUCCAUCUGAUAAAAACAGAAAUCUCCGCAGUGGUCUGUAGCAGCUGAGCAUUUGCAAGGUUGGGAUUGCUGUUCUUUGUACACUGCCUUCCUUCUCUAUGUGCUCAGUAUUGACUUUCUAAUCUUCAGUAUAUUACUAAAAAUGUUGAAAGCAUAUUUGCCCUUAAAGUGAGCAAGGUAGCAAGCUGAGGAGCAGACUUGGGUUCAGAUUUUCAUUUCAGUAAUUGAGACUCUUGUUUGCUUCUGUCAAUACGGUAAGAUAAAAAUCUUUUGCAAGAGAAAAACUUCAGUGCAUUCUUUUUUUCUCUGUUAUUUCUGAAAUCCUGGCUACCAUGCUUGAAGUGGGACAAUAUGGGUAAGUGACAAAGUUUUUUCUAGGGAGAGCAGGGUCUGAUGUGGGGGCAUGAACUAUUAAGUCAGCCAGCUGAAAGAAGCUUUCAUUACAGAGUUCUCCAUCAGCCACAUAAAGAACACUGGAACUAUAAAGUAAAAAUGCUAUGCUGCUCUCUGCAGGAAAAAAAAAAAAAAGGCCUGUAGAAAUAAUGGGACUGUGAGGGAAGGGGUAGGAGGAGUUCAGAAGAGCUCUGUGCAGAUAAUGGCGUACAGGUUUUGCUGAACUGCUUACAUGAAGUGAUUUUCUUUCAGGCUCGACCAUAACUGUGUAGUCAAAGUAGUCACAUGCCAUACAAAACUUUCCUCCAAAGUCUCAGAAGAUAGUUUGAUCUAUAUUGUGAUAGGCAAGUGCAAGUUUGAGAAGUGAAAAGUCUUACAGUAGCUUUCCUAUCUUCACACUUCAGUUGCUUUGUAGCAUGACUUGAUUUUGCAUGGUCUGUUAGAUUUACACUGGUUGUUGGCAUCAAGGAAUAAGUGCAGCUGUACUGCUGAAACACCUGCAGCUUGUUCUCUGUGUUAUCUAUGCAUAUGGUGGGGAGGUCAGUACCAGAAUGACAAUCUUGCCUCAUUUCUACAAGUGCUUUACUUUAUUUUUUUUAUUCUUCUGGGCUCAGAUUUACAGAAGUGCAGAAAAACAGGCUUUUGGUGUUGUUUUUGUCCAAAUUAAUUUUCAUAGGAAAUGACACAUUUCUGAAAACGAGGAGUAAGUGUGGAAGCUAUGGGUAAGUUUUCCUGGAACACAUCAUGUCAGUUUUGCAAGUCUGUGUUCUAAAAUGUCUAACUGAAAGCUUCCCAUUUGGUACAGUUAUUCACAGUUUGGUCACAGCUCCUACAUUUGUACAUCCCAAGGGCAUCUCUCCUCACCCCUCACUUAUUUGAAUAGAAGCCCAAGCUUCUUGUUUAUUGACUAGAGAAGUGUACCAACCAGAGCAACUCCUGCACACCAAUCUCUCCCAGUGAAGAAUCUGAUUUGAGGAAUAAUAACUGUGAGGAGUAAAGAGUUAUCAUUUUAAACAAAUGAAUCUCAGAAUUUGCUCGCAGUUGUUUUUAGUUCCUGUUGAUGGCAAUCAGAGCUAUGUUUUAUUUCGUCAUUAAUAUGUAGUUAUAAUGCUCUCCUGUUUUUUUUUUCAAACUUUAUUUUCUGAUUUUGGGAAGAAACCAAUGUUCUUGAAAAGUUCCUGAAAAACUUUAUGGGGUAUUGCAUAUUAUGCCUUGUCUCAAACUUGGUUAUUUUCUAAGUCUCAGUCCCAAAGUAUCUCAGUGGGAAGGAAACUGACUUGGUUGUGUAAGGCUUUUAGUGACUGAGAUCUCUGCUACAGUGCAGAUAAUACAUAUGCUGAAUUUUGAAGACAGAGGGACUGGAAAUGAGUCUGUACUCAGAGCAACAGCAUUCCUCAGUGCUCUCAGUGCCCGAUAUUUCUUAUUGCUUCAGGUAGGACUGCAGUAACAACGUGUCACUACAUAACAGUGGUUGUAAACCAUGGGGGAAUUUGGGUUUUCUGAAUGAGACAUACAAAAUUUCAGUGUUUGUUGGAUGAAGUUCCAAAUUCAGGCAGCUGCAGACCUUUAUAUUAAUGUGCAAGAUGAGAACGCAGUGCAGUCCAAGAAUUUGGGCUCUACUAUGCACACUUAAAAUUCGAAUACUGAUUUUUGUUGUUAUUAUUUUUCUAAUCUGGGUUUAUUUCUUCCUUAAAAACCUGAUGUGAAAUUUUGUUUAAAAACUAUUUGUGUCAGAAUGCAAUUAGGAAUAUGGUGGGAGGUUUUUUUUUUGUAUGAGAUCCAUCCCAACGUGUAGAUUUCUGCCAUUGCUACACAGUUUUAACAUGAUCAUAUAUAUAUAUAUAUUUAAUGCUGGAAAAAAUUUAAGGAGUAACAAGGAAUUAAGGGGAAAAAGAAAGUACAUAAAACAACAGAAUCCAGUAUUAAAAUUGACCAAGGCAUUUAAUAAAUAAUUUUAACAGUGUGCACUGAUUGAGACAGAAAUAUGCUGAAAGGCUUUGGUUUAGCAAAACUAUAUUCAAAUGUGUGCUUAUGUCAUCUGGAUUUAGGAUUAGUUUGGCUUAAAGCUAAGCACAGGCUGAAAUUUGCACUCAGUUGUGGCCAGGGCAUUUCAGCCUUGUUUGUGGGCACAGAGCAUUGUAACUUUGGAUUAUGAGAGGAGUGUGUGUCAGUAUAAUGAGAGAGAAUUUGGUUCAUAGUGACAGUAUGAGUGCAAGAGUGGUAUGUUCAUGGGGCAGUAGUUUUUUUCCAGAAAGAAAACAUUUGCUCCAUUUGUCACACAUCACACAGGCCCUACAGUCACUCAGGGGUCUGACACCGCCAUGGGGAGCCAUGCAACUGGGAACUGUCCUUCCUUGUAUUCUACACGAAGCAGUUCUAGAGCCACACAGGCAUGCUUAAAUUUCAAGAGAUCCUGAUUGUUGGCAUCUGGCUUUACAUUCUAACAUUAUGUUUACUUCAAACUUAUGUCAAAAUUUGCCUUUUUUGGGGGGGGAAGUUGUAAAUACCCCCCCCCCCCCCCCCCCC